rnacentral:lncRNA from 1 species
GGACCUCGGAGUCACACUCAAGGAGCGUGCUUGGAAUCCAAAGUGCAUGCUAUGCUAUGGUGGGGAUAUGGACAAGGACAGAAAUAGCACCCAGCAAGGAAGGAUGAACAGGCUGCCAUAAUGAAACAGAUGACGCACGACAGAUCACAAUAUGAACUUCAGAAACAAAUUUAGAGGAAGAGACAGCAGAGUGACAAGGUGACCAUGAGUCGGGGUGCAGCCUGGCCUGGACCACUCUCCUCAUCGACGCCUGGAUUCUUU